rnacentral:rRNA from 1 species
UACGUAGGGUGCAAGCGUUAAUCGGAAUUACUGGGCGUAAAGCGUGCGCAGGCGGUUAUGUAAGACAGAUGUGAAAUGCCCGGGCUCAACCUGGGAACUGCAUUUGUGACUGCAUGGCUAGAGUUUGGCAGAGGGGGGUAGAAUUCCACGUGUAGCAGUGAAAUGCGUAGAGAUGUGGAGGAACACCGAUGGCGAAGGCAGCCCCCUGGGUCAAGAUUGACGCUCAUGCACGAAAGCGUGGGGAGCAAACAGG